rnacentral:misc_RNA from 1 species
GAUGAAGAACGCAGCGAAAUGCGAUAAUUAAUGUGAAUUGCAGAAUUUAGUGAAUCAUCGAAUCUUUGAACGCACAUGGCGCCUUCCAGUAUCCUGGGAGGCAUGCCUGUCCGAGCGUCGUUUCAACCCUCGAGCCCCCGUGGCCCGGCGUUGGGGAUCUGCCCAGGCAGUCCCCGAAAACCAGUGGCGGACCCGUUACAGGCCCUUCCCUUGCGUAGUAGCAUUCGCCUCGCAUCGGGAGCCGGCGGGCUUCCAGCCUCUAAACCCCCAUCAAGUCCGCCCCGGCGGCACCAAGGUUGACCUCGGAUCAGGUAGGAAUACCCGCUGAACUUAAGCAUAUCAAUAAGCGGAGGA